UGCUGGUCUUGGGCUAUGCUGGCCUCCGGCAUGCAUCCCAAAUGCCUGAUAGAAUACGCUUACUUCUUCAUGACGCAUCACGAACGCUAAUUUGGUUUUCUGAUUUACAGGCAAACUCAUGUUCAAGUACAGCGGCAGCACCUGCAAGGUGGCCGUGAAGGGACUCUACGAUCCAAGCAAGCCCUCGUGUACAGGAGAGACGGUCUACGUUCUAAGCAAUAGCGAGAACUACGACGGCGUGCUUCACCUCCCUGGGCGCGUUCUUGGACGGUGAGAGGAUAACAACCGACGGCAAUUGCACCUCAAGCUGUGCUGCAGGCAGCGUAGUGGGUGAAGGUGGGACUGUGCUAACAGAUCUUCAGGAGGAAACGCUGCAGUGCUGCAAAAACACCAAGUCUCCCUGCGUUCACUUUUGCUGCAGCAACGGCGGCACCUACCCUGAUUGCGGCAGCCCUGGCAGCACCGUCAGAAAAGAGUACUUCUGUGAUGCGGUGGCCGUUUGUGUUUACCAUGGACUGCUCCUGGCCCAGAUUGACACGCCUGCGAAGCUCACUGACAUACUGGACAUCAUCAGCCAACAGGAUCCAGCCGCGACGCAAUUUUGGGUGAACGUACGAAAAAUCAGCGGAACUUGGGUCAACAUUCCUAGCAACACGCCUGUGGCUGCGGGUGAUUGGGCAACACCUCCUGUUGACGGCGAAUGCGCGUAUGUGGAUAUAAGUGCAAACAAUCGACUCAAAACCGCGCCAUGCGACGGGGAAAAACGUGCCUUUCCUUGCGUCGAUCCCACAAAUUCUCUGCCAGUUUGUUAGUCAACUUCUGCAUAGAUUUGUGCCACGGAAUUUUAUGGAAUUUCCGCAGACGAAGCAAUAAAAAACA